rnacentral:rRNA from 1 species
ACGCUCGACACCUACGGGGGGCAGCAGUCGGGAAUAUUGCGCAAUGGAGGGAAACUCUGACGCAGUGACGCCGCGUAUAGGAAGAAGGUUUUCGGAUUGUAAACUAUUGUCGUUAGGGAAGAUACAAGACAGUACCUAAGGAGGAAGCACCGGCUAACUAUGUGCCAGCAGUCGCGGUAAUCUGAGCGGGCUGGCAAGGC